CUUUAAGGCCUGACUUUUAAGUCAUGAGGUUCAUCUUUUCAUACGCAAUCCAUGCUGGGGGUCUUUUGGCCAGAAAUAGAUCCGGAAAUGUUCGAAUUUCUCCUCUUCUUUUUAUGGUAUGAUAUGGUUUUUAAAGGCAGUGCUUUAAGGCCUGACUUUUAAGUCAUGAGGUUCAUCUUUUCAUACGCAAUCCAUGCUGGGGGUCUUUUGGCCAGAAAUAGAUCCAGAAAUGUUCGAAUUUCUCCUCUUCUUUUUAUGGUAUGAUAUGGUUUUUGUUUCUUUCAUUUACAUUGGGGACUAAAGAAACGAUCAGUGUGUAUUGUUCGUUUUAUAGAACUUGUUAUAAGUGUGUAUUUUGCAUUAUAAGCAGUCAACCUGACUACAAACUAUCAAUAGUUGUAUAUUCCGUGUGGAAAGAGGUCGGGGUAAUUUCAAGUGUUAUCUGACAUCUAAAGAUUCUUUAAUUAGUUCAGACGUUGAUAUAACAAUGAAAAGUCGACUGAACAUGAUUAAUAUUGCAUCUUCUAUAAUUCAAAGCGGAAUUCGGUUUAUGAACGAGAAACCGUAAAGCGUUUUCAAUUUCGGUAUUAGUUAUGUAUGUUAUCUACGUAUUAUCAUGGUUCCCGGUACUACGUUCCGGGUAUUAGCUAUUUGAUAUAUUUGAUGUGUAACAUUACAAUCGGGUACCAGCCAAUCUACGUGUGUAUGUGUACAUGAUUUACCGCCAAAAUGACCGACUUAAAAAAUAGUCCAUAAACGUUCCGUAUAAUGAUAUGCAAUUCAUAAUUAAUCGUAACUUUUUUUAUCUUUGUAUAAUAAAUAUAACAAAAUGGAUUCCACAAAAUUGAAAAUAGCAUUAUUUUACGAGGAUUUCUCAUAUUUUUUUCACUUCCGGCGCAGUAAUACGUAUGUUUUGAAGAAGGUCGAAGAAUUUGACAAAGUGAAUUGAGAAGGAAACGGAUAGAUAUACGUUCUUGCUAUCAGGGCACAAACCCACUUUAAAGAGACUUGUCUACUGCCAUACCCAUCCUAUUUUCAUGCACCAUUUGCAAGCAAGAGACUGAAUGGUUUGCAAAAUUAAAAAUCAGGACGGUGUCCAAUUAAAACAAAAGAACUAAACUGGAUGAAUAUUGUAGGAGAAAUCUAGACAUGCUAGAGGAAAGUUUUGAUUUGUGAAAUUGGUUUUCCUGAAAAGUCAUUCAUCCUAGCCUGCAGAAAGGACCUAUAACUGUCAACUGACGAGCUAAUGUUGAGCUUCACAUAUGGAAUUACUCAAAUACCAUCAAUGUCUAUGUUUUCAGCACAAAUUUCACAAUUUAUGACACAGCUGUGCUUUUUUUUUAUACCGUUAAAGAGUUGUAUACCAAAUUUUAUUUUUUUAUCAAUAAAUAUAUAUUAUAUUAAUUGUGUCAUCUAAGAACAAAGUCUUGUAUUUUGCCAAAAGAUGCAUACUAGUGAAUGAAAGUGGUGCAGUUCAUUUUGCUUUGGUAUAUAGAAUUGAAUUACAAUUGUUCAUGUUAUUGAAAUGCAUAUAAAAAUAAGGAGAUGUGGUACAAUGUAUAUGAUAUUUAGUGAGUUUAUCAAGCAAAAGUGAAUAAGAAAUAGGUAUAAGCAGUUACAGGUACUACUGUACAAUCUCAAACAAGGAGAAAAACUCAUACCGUAAAGAGAAUUUCAUAUUUACAAGAAAAGUUCUUAUAUGUCUAAAGAAGAGGGACGAAAGACACUAAAGGGACAGUCAAACUCAUAAAUUUAAAGCAAACUGACAAGGCCAUGGCUAAAAAUGCAUUUCAUGGCGAGGCACAGAAAAUAUACUGUAAACAGUAGACUAUAGAUACAUGUAUAGGUGAACUAAGGUACAAAAGAACUCUAAAUCUUAAAUUCUACAAACCACCUCUGUUCUAUGGAAGAUAAUGAUAUAACUGGACUAGAAAUACACACAACCUGUAAUUAACUGCCUUUACAGCGCUUUCGCGCUUUGAUUGUUUCUU